GCGGGUGAACGUGGUCCGCUCCCUUCGCUGCUUCCUGGGAGUCGCUGCGGGAAACAGGCGCGGCCCCAGAAGGACGAAAUACGGGGGGCUCGUCGUCGUCUGUCAGGCUGUUGAAGGUGAUUUCUAAUGGAGACGGAUGGAGAUUGAUCACCUUCUCUCCGCCCCGCGCCUCUAUGAGCGGAGGAUCACCUGCGGGAUCCGCCUCCCGCAGCCAAUCACAGAGUGGCUGCGGCCGUGACGGACGGCGCGGGCCGCCAAUGAGCUCGCGGCGGCAGACAUUGGGGAGAGGGAGAGGCGAGGCGAGGGGAGGACACCGCCCCCUUUUCUCCCACCACCCACCCCUCCACCUCCCGCUGCACCUCCUCCACGGACAGAUCCCGGAGAGCAGGGGGAAGAAGCUCGGAGGCUUUUAUAGAAGAUGGAAACGAUUCAGAGGCCCGCAGCAGCAGCAGCAGCAGCGGGCCUGCCGCUCCGCUGUGAGUCAGAGUGAGUGCGCAAACUGGAACGGACUGAAUCGAGAGGGAGAUGCAGGCAAAGAGGUGACAGAGCACUUGAAAUAAAACUGAACAUGUGGGAUUUUAUUUUCUUGACAGAAAACGCCAUUGUGUUUUUUUAAGCGUCACAUCAUCUGCAAAUGUGGGAUUUUUCUACCAAACAUGAAGAAAUAAUGGGGGGAAAUUUGCCACUUUGAGGCUCAAAUCCACUUCUGUUUAUUUUUUUAAAUCUCCUUUGCAAAACUAUUUCCCAUCUUUAAAAAAUAAAAAAGAAAGAAAGAAAAGUGGAGCGAUGAAACCAGGCGAUGAGAAGUUAAAUUUACCCAUUUUGAUUUUUAUUGAUAUCCCCUCCCUCUUUUCCCUCUCUUUUUUUUCCUCCUCUACACACUCACACACAGAGACAAAUCUCAUGAAUAUUAAUGAGGUUUAAUCCCCAUUUAGAAUUACAUUUGAGGAUGGUUGACGUAAAGUUUAAUAGGAAAAGACCUCCAACUCACUGCGGAGGAAGCGGGUUAAAAAAAAAGGCAGAAGCUGCAGCCGCUCGAGCACGUUGAUGUUUUUAAAAGCAAAACCUUUUAAGAUGAAUACGUUUGAAUUUUCUGUCCAUUUGUUGUUGAAGGUCAAAACAGAAAAAAAAAAACCCGCGGAUCUCAAAUGCAGAAUAAACAAAAUGGAGUCAAGUGAAGGGGUGGAAAUUACAUCUUUACGCGUUAAAGCAGAGCACGCACGAGGACUUUGACUAUACAGAUAAAUGCUGCAGGUUGUGUCGAGGCCUGCAGUGGUGAUGCUUAAAAGGCGGCUUUUUUUUUAACGCAGCCGCUCAGGAUCAAAUCAGAUCAAAAUCAGACAUGAAAGAAGCAGGGGAGAAAUGAAAGGUGAUUUGAAAGAGGUCAAACCCUUCCCCGCACCUUUUCUGCAUUUUAUUUCUGAAGUCCAAGCAGUCAGAGGCCCGCCAAAGAUCCAAAUACCAGCACCCCUCCUGUUCACACACACACACACACACACACACACAGAGGCUCCGUUAAAUUAUGCAAAAAGGCCAUUCAACAAAUAUGGCCUUCCCAACACAAAAGAGACGGCUUAUUCUGACAUUUCCCCUCACAUUUCUUGUUUUUUUUCUCCCCUCUUCCUUUUCUCGAUGUGAGACCUCCAGAUAAACCCCCCUGAACAAGUAUCAAGUUAUCAAGUUGCACCAAGCUUUUUGUAAUAAGAGCAUUUUGUCUAAUCCCAAAUUGCAGUUGAAUUUUCUUAAUGCUGAGCUGGUAAAGCCUGGGAUUAGAGCGGAGCAGAGGAGAGCAGGAGGGGGUGGGGGGUUGAAAAGUUUUGUCCCUUCAGCCGGGAGGAUUGGAAGAAGCUCGGAUCUGCGGGGAUGUUGUCGGUGCUUAUUAAAACGAUGAUGCAUAAACCUCAGAGUGGCUUGUUGCGGGAAGCUCCGGGUUCCCGUCGCACGGAGAGCUCUGGAGCUCCCGGCUCCCAGCGAGCUGCGGAGGCCGAGCGGCGCGCAGCACCUGUCGGGGGAAAACGCAGCGAAGGUCCCGCCGAAAGGAGACAGGAUCCAGAUGUUUUUCCCACCCGUUUAUAUAUAUUUUUUCCUGCAACUGGAACAUUAAUAAAUUAUCCAUAACCAGCAAGUGGAGCAACAGAGCGUCCUCUCCAGGUGCUCGUCCUCUGCCUCGGCCCUGUGGACCACAAACAUCAAAACGUCACGAGUCCCGAAGGAGGUGUGUGUGUGUGCGUGUGUGUGUUGGUGCUCCCGGCUCCCUGUGAGCUGCGGUGUGGUGGGGGGAUGAAGCAGUGCCAUGGUGGAUUCGUGCCAGGGGCCACACUCUGACCUUUCACCCUUCCUGGCACCACAGAUCUGGAAGAGAUCCCACCCCCAAAGGUCCCGGACCAGUGCGUCCCGUUUGUUGACCAGUAUGACCAGUUCGUCCAGCAGGAGCUGCUCUCGUCUCUUCUGGGCUUCAGUUUUCUGCCAGUCUGCAAAAAUCAGAGGAAGCUUCAGACUUUUGACACCUGAAGGAAGAAAACGUUACGUCACACCGAGUGGAAAAAACUGCAUCUCUAUAAAACCAACGUCUUUAAAGAGACUCCCAGCUUCAGGAGUUUGAACGGUGAACCCGCGGGUCAAAGGUCGUCCUGUUGGACCGAGCUGAGGAUCGGUGGAGACACACUCCAUUCUGAGCAAACGUCCUUGAAGCAUAUCGUCACAGCGAUGUGCAGCUUUGACACGCAUGGAGAUACAAGGACCCACGCUCCCACAGGACCAUACUGCCACUGUGGAUGUCCAGGUAUUGAUCAGAGAACUGAAAACGUUUGAUCAAACGGAAAUACUCGUGUUUCAGCGGGAAUGAAGACAUCAUCAAGUCUUGUAGUGAUGAUUUGGGUGAAAAUAAUUAGUUUUCUGAUCAGUUCCUUUAAAUAAACAAGCAGGUGAGGCCCCCCAACCCCCCUGACUCUAGCCUCAGUUCUCUAGGGACUUUCCAGGAAGGGGCCCCACAGGGCCCAGGUGGGACCUGAUCCAAAUCCCCUCAGCCUCCCCCAGGAGGGGGGGCUGCCUACAGGGGAGCACCCACUUCCCCCUGGGGCUCAAAUAUCCGCCUCGGCUCUAUGUUCAGGCACCACUGGGGGCAGCGCUACGCCCUCCCUUAGCCCCCCCCCCCCAGCCACCCCGCCCCAAAAAACACGAACAUCAUCACAACGUUUCUGUGUGAUUUAAACAAAUCCUCCACGUUUCUCCAACACACCCUGAUCCGAAGUCGCUUCGGCUGAAGAGCGCCAACGUCAGAGUGUGCAGAUUUAUUUGGCUGCUUUGCAGCUUAAGGAGAGCAGGAUAUCUUCGGCUUCUCUGCAGCCCCACACACACACACACACACACACACACGCACGCACGCACGCACGCACACACACACAUCCCAGAGAGAAUCCAAACACAGCUGAAGCACCGCACUG